ensembl:lncRNA
GGGAGUUAAGACUGUGGUGAACUAGGGGCCCUCACCUAGUGGGACAGCUGCCACUUAGUUCCAGCUGAAACUAUGGUAAUAUGAACCUCACGUUGCCAGAGCUUUAACUAUUAGGCAGACAGUGAAACCAACAAUCCGAGAGUUUUCAAGAAACACGGAUCUGACAACAACUCUCCCAUCAUUUCACACCUUCAGACCUGCUGGAACCAGAUCCAGAGGCUAGCUGAGGGAGACGCCUCUGAAGAAGGUCACUGCCAACAAAUCACAGGUCCUAUGGGCCCUCAGCAUUGCACUCCCUUCCCUCCAUUUGACUCUGCCAUUCUCCUCUGAGAAGACCCAGGAAUGAAUGCUCCUUUGUAAAACCACAGCUCUGACAGCCAGAUCUCCUGAGUUUUCCAUAAUCCUUGAUGGUGGCAAUUUUUGUUCAAGAGGCUUGAACUCUGCUCCUGGCUCACCAGCCAGUCUUCUCCCCUCUGUCACUGACCUGCCGGGGCCUACAUAUGGCCAUCUCCUCCCAUGCCCCUCCUCGGCUUCUGGCAGCAACCUUCAAACUCCUUCACAGUGAGCAAAGGAACCCAAGGUCCAUUCCUCUCGUCUCCACGUCCUCGCCGCCUCCGCCUCCCAGUCCUGGACGCCAAGGCCCCGGCUUCCCCUCGCCCUGGCUCUCUCCUCAAGGACCUUCUCGGCCUUCCUCCAGGCCGACUCGCUACUGUCAGUCUGCACCUGCAAGCCCAGCGGCCCGGCUUUCGGUCCCGUCAGUACCCCUCUCCAUCGCCUCCCAGCGCGGUGUUCGGCCGCCGUACCGAGGGCGCCUGUAAAGCUCAGUCAGAGCGCCGAGCCGGGCUUGCGUCAAGAAGACGCGAAGAGAUCGGCAGCACGGCCGCCGAGCGCCGCUCCCAGAAGAACUGGUCAACCAGCGCCGGGCUCGGC